rnacentral:rRNA from 1 species
CCUACGGGUGGCAGCAGUGAGGAAUAUUGGUCAAUGGACGAGAGUCUGAACCAGCCAAGUAGCGUGAAGGAUGACUGCCCUAUGGGUUGUAAACUUCUUUUAUAUGGGAAUAAAAUGUUCCACGUGUGGGAUUUUGUAUGUACCAUAUGAAUAAGGAUCGGCCAACUCCGUGCCAGCAGCCGCGGUAAUACGGAGGAUCCGAGCGUUAUCCGGAUUUAUUGGGUUUAAAGGGAGCGUAGGUGGAUUGUUAAGUCAGUUGUGAAAGUUUGCGGCUCAACCGUAAAAUUGCAGUUGAAACUGGCAGUCUUGAGUACAGUAGAGGUGGGCGGAAUUCGUGGUGUAGCGGUGAAAUGCUUAGAUAUCACGAAGAACUCCGAUUGCGAAGGCAGUUCACUGGACUGCAACUGACACUGAGGCUCGAAAGUGUGGGUAUCAAACAGGAUUAGAUACCCUUGUAGUC